GCACUGUGGAAAUGGCCUCAGCAUCUUCAAACAAAGACAUGUUGGAUCUCAUCGCCAACCAAAGAGCCACUCUCACCUGUUCUUGCCUCUCUAAAAAAGCAGAUCCACUUGAAAUGAGAGCAGUGUGGAGGCCACAGCCACUAGGAAGACGGACCAAGUUUUCCACUUCUGUGGUUCCAAUGAAAAGGGUUUUGCACUCGUUUGGCUGGGUCAGUUUCACCAUCAGGUGUUCCAGGGAUUACUUAUGCUGGCUGGCUUGAUUGAACGACCAUAUGGCAAAGGCUCCUGCACUUCCAGCGGCCCAGAGUU